CAUAUGGCUUGCAUAACGGAGAAAAAGUAUGUCCUGAUGGCUUGGAAAGUUGGAACAGCACUUUGUAUGACUAUACAUAUAUGAUUAUCUGGUGAAAUAAACAUUUACACAGCCCACAAGACACUAAAGAUGUGAUGCUUAUUUACAGGUUUUUUGUAGGAUCAUUCUUGCAGGUGGUAACUUUAGUGCAAGUGAUUUGCUACAUGAAGCACCAGGAUCGUGUUUCUCACUUUCGUCUUUCUGGAGCAAGGGAACGGACUUGAAGGUUUACCACUGAGUCACUCAGUGGAGGAGGAAUGCUUGCUAGAUGAACGCGUAUACACGUACUUUUGCUAUUGUAUAAGGCAUAUUGACUUCGACAUCAAUGAAAGGAAGAUUACUCA